CUAAGUUUAGGCACCUAAACGGCGAAACUGCGAAUGGCUCAUUAAAUCAGUUAUCGUAUAUUUGAUAGUACCUACUACAUGGAUAACCGUGGUAAUUCUAGAGCUAAUACAUGCUUAAAAUCCCGACUUCGGAAGGGAUGUAUUUAUUAGAUUAAAAACCAAUGCCCUUCGGGGCUCACUGGUGAUUCAUAAUAACUUCUCGAAUCGCAUGGCCUUGUGCCGGCGAUGGUUCAUUCAAAUUUCUGCCCUAUCAACUUUCGACGGCUGGGUCUUGGCCAGCCGUGGUUACAACGGGUAACGGAGGGUUAGGGCUUGACCCCGGAGAAGGAGCCUGAGAAACGGCUACUACAUCCAAGGAAGGCAGCAGGCGCGCAAAUUACCCAAUCCCGACUCGGGGAGGUAGUGACAAUAAAUACUGAUACAGGGCUCUUUUGGGUCUUGUAAUUGGAAUGAGUACAAUUUAAAUCCCUUAACGAGGAACAAUUGGAGGGCAAGUCUGGUGCCAGCAGCCGCGGUAAUUCCAGCUCCAAUAGCGUAUAUUAAAGUUGUUGCAGUUAAAAAGCUCGUAGUUGAACCUUGGGCCUGGCUGGCCGGUCUGCCUCACCGCAUGCACUGGUCCGGCCGGGCCUUUCCCUCUGGGGAGCCGCAUGCCCUUCACUGGGUGUGUCGGGGAACCAGGACUUUUACUGUGAAAAAAUUAGAGUGUUCAAAGCAGGCAUAUGCUCGAAUACAUUAGCAUGGAAUAAUAGAAUAGGACGUCGCGGUUCUAUUUUGUUGGUUUCUAGGACCGCCGUAAUGAUUAAUAGGGACAGUCGGGGGCAUCAGUAUUCAAUCGUCAGAGGUGAAAUUCUUGGAUCGAUUGAAGACUAACUACUGCGAAAGCAUUUGCCAAGGAUGUUUUCAUUAAUCAGGAACGAAAGUUAGGGGAUCGAAAACGAUCAGAUACCGUUGUAGUCUUAACCAUAAACUAUGCCGACUAGGGAUCGGGCGGUGUUAUUUCUUGACCCGCUCGGCACCUUACACGAAAGUAAAGUUUUUGGGUUCUGGGGGGAGUAUGGUCGCAAGGCUGAAACUUAAAGAAAUUGACGGAAGGGCACCACAAGGGGUGGAGCCUGCGGCUUAAUUUGACUCAACACGGGGAAACUCACCAGGUCCAGACACAACUAGGAUUGACAGAUUGAGAGCUCUUUCUUGAUUUUGUGGGUGGUGGUGCAUGGCCGUUCUUAGUUGGUGGAGUGAUUUGUCUGCUUAAUUGCGAUAACGAACGAGACCUUAACCUGCUAAAUAGCCCGUGCCGCCUAGGCGGCACGCCGGCGUCUUAGAGGGACUAUCGC
rnacentral:rRNA from 1 species